CCGGCGGGUUGGGGAUUGGGCUACAGGUGCCGCGACGGAGGGGGAGUACGAUGAGGUUCUGGGGCAGCUCUCCUCUCUCACGCAGAAGGUGCGGACACACACCGGCAACCCAGGCAACCAGUGGGACCUCAUGGACCGCUACCUCCAGAUUCUCGAGCUGGAGGAGGCCAUCGCGUGGAUGAAGGUCAUCCAUGUCACCGGGACCAAAGGGAAGGUGAAUCACGAGAUAACAUUUGGUGCCAAGGAUUCGAGAAGGUGAACUAAUACCAAGAACCAUGUCGCCGGAUGAUUCAGGAAGAGAUGGUCCUGAUAGUCGAGAUAAACGGUGCAUUGGGUGAACUUGUUACUACAGAGAUUUCCGUAUUCAGUCUAUCCCAUUACUCAUUUGCUUCAUAAGUUCCUACCAUAUUGUUUAUGUCGAUUUAUUCUACU